CUACGGGGGGCUCCAGUGGGGAAUAUUGCACAAUGGAGGAAACUCUGAUGCAGCAACGCCGCGUGGAGGAUGACACAUUUCGGUGCGUAAACUCCUUUUAUUAGGGAAGAUAAUGACGGUACCUAAUGAAUAAGCACCGGCUAACUCCGUGCCAGCAGCCGCGGUAAUACGGAGGGUGCAAGCGUUACUCGGAAUCACUGGGCGUAAAGCGCGCGCAGGCGGCCUUUUAAGUUGGAUGUGAAAGCCUACGGCUCAACCGUAGAACUGCAUCCAAAACUAUUGGGCUAGAGUGUGGGAGAGGAAGAUGGAAUUAGUUGUGUAGGGGUAAAAUCCGUAGAGAUAACUAGGAAUACCAAAAGCGAAGGCAAUCUUCUGGAACACUACUGACGCUGAGGCGCGAAAGCGUGGGGAGCAAACAGGAUUAGAUACCCCUGUAGUC
rnacentral:rRNA from 1 species